GAUGAACGCUGGCGGCGUGCCUAAUACAUGCAAGUCGAGCGAACAGACGAGGAGCUUGCUCCUCUGACGUUAGCGGCGGACGGGUGAGUAACACGUGGAUAACCUACCUAUAAGACUGGGAUAACUUCGGGAAACCGGAGCUAAUACCGGAUAAUAUAUUGAACCGCAUGGUUCAAUAGUGAAAGACGGUUUUGCUGUCACUUAUAGAUGGAUCCGCGCCGCAUUAGCUAGUUGGUAAGGUAACGGCUUACCAAGGCAACGAUGCGUAGCCGACCGGAGAGGGGGAUCGGCCACACUGGAACUGGGACACGGUCCAGACUCCUACGGGAGGCAGCAGUAGGGAAUGUGCCGCAAUGGGCGAAAGCCUGACGGAGCAAGGCCGCGUGAGUGAUGAAGGUCUUCGGAUCGUAAAACUCUGUUAUUAGGGAAGAACAAAUGUGUAAGUAACUGUGCACGUCUUGACGGUACCUAAUCAGAAAGCAACGGCUAACUACGUG
rnacentral:rRNA from 1 species